CAAACAAUCCGUGGUGAUUUGGCCGGCCGGCUUGCAGCCACGUUAAAGAAGUCGCUAAAGGGCCGAGGGAACGAUAGA
rnacentral:ncRNA from 20 species